GAUGAACGCUGGCGGCGUGCCUAACACAUGCAAGUCGAGCGGCAGCGAGGGGUGCUUGCACCCUGUCGGCGAGCGGCGGACGGCUGAGUAACGCGUGGGAACGUGCCCCAAAGUGAGGAAUAACUGCCCGAAGGGGUAGCUAAUACCGCAUAUUAUCUUCGGAUCAAAGGAUUUAUCCGCUUUGGGAGCGGCUCGCGUCGGAUUAGGUAGUUGGUGAGGUAAUGGCUCACCAAGCCGACGAUCCGUAGCUGGUCUGAGAGGAUGACCAGCCAGACUGGAACUGAGACACGGUCCAGACUCCUACGGGAAGCAGCAGUGAGGAAUCUUCCACAAUGGGCGAAAGCCUGAUGGAGCAACGCCGCGUGCAGGACGAAGGCCUUCGGGUUGUAAACUGCUUUUAUAAGUGAGGAAUAUGACGGUAACUUAUGAAUAAGGAUCGGCUAACUACGUG
rnacentral:rRNA from 1 species